rnacentral:rRNA from 1 species
GACGAACGCUUGCGGCGUGCUUAACACAUGCAAGUCGAACGGAAAGGCCCUGCUUUUGUGGGGUGCUCGAGUGGCGAACGGGUGAGUAACACGUGAGUAACCUGCCCUUGACUUUGGGAUAACUUCAGGAAACUGGGGCUAAUACCGGAUAGGAGCUCCUGCUGCAUGGUGGGGGUUGGAAAGUUUCGGCGGUUGGGGAUGGACUCGCGGCUUAUCAGCUUGUUGGUGGGGUAGUGGCUUACCAAGGCUUUGACGGGUAGCCGGCCUGAGAGGGUGACCGGCCACAUUGGGACUGAGAUACGGCCCAGACUCCUACGGGAGGCAGCAGCGGGGAAUAUUGCACAAUGGGCGGAAGCCUGAUGCAGCAACGCCGCGUGCGGGAUGACGGCCUUCGGGUUGUAAACCGCUUUCGCCUGUGACGAAGCGUGAGUGACGGUAAUGGGUAAAGAAGCACCGGCUAACUACGUGCCAGCAGCCGCGGUGAUACGUAGGGUGCGAGCGUUGUCCGGAUUUAUUGGGCGUAAAGGGCUCGUAGGUGGUUGAUCGCGUCGGAAGUGUAAUCUUGGGGCUUAACCCUGAGCGUGCUUUCGAUACGGGUUGACUUGAGGAAGGUAGGGGAGAAUGGAAUUCCUGGUGGAGCGGUGGAAUGCGCAGAUAUCAGGAGGAACACCAGUGGCGAAGGCGGUUCUCUGGGCCUUUCCUGACGCUGAGGAGCGAAAGCGUGGGGAGCGAACAGGCUUAGAUACCCUGGUAGUCCACGCUGUAAACGGUGGGUACUAGGUGUGGGGUCCAUUCCACGGGUUCCGUGCCGUAGCUAACGCUUUAAGUACCCCGCCUGGGGAGUACGGCCACAAGGCUAAAACUCAAAGGAAUUGACGGGGCCCCGCACAAGCGGCGGAGCAUGCGGAUUAAUUCGAUGCAACGCGUAGAACCUUACCUGGGUUUGACAUGGAUCGGGAGUGCUCAGAGAUGGGUGUGCCUCCUUUGGGGUCGGUUCACAGGUGGUGCAUGGCUGUCGUCAGCUCGUGUCGUGAGAUGUUGGGUUAAGUCCCGCAACGAGCGCAACCCUUGUUCACUGUUGCCAGCACGUUAUGGUGGGGACUCAGUGGAGACCGCCGGGGUCAACUCGGAGGAAGGUGGGGAUGACGUCAAGUCAUCAUGCCCCUUAUGUCCAGGGCUUCACGCAUGCUACAAUGGCUGGUACAGAGAGUGGCGAGCCUGUGAGGGUGAGCGAAUCUCGGAAAGCCGGUCUCAGUUCGGAUUGGGGUCUGCAACUCGACCUCAUGAAGUCGGAGUCGCUAGUAAUCGCAGAUCAGCAACGCUGCGGUGAAUACGUUCCCGGG